CCUAAAGGCAAAAUGAAAGUAAAGUUUAUUCUUGCGGUAAAUGAGGGAGGAUAGGUUGCAUUACGAUGUCAAUCUCGCAUUCCCAGGGCGUCUCAUUCUCAUUACGAGAGGAGGCGCACCUAGAGCGUACACGUUGGGACCCGAAAGAUGGUGAACUAUGCCUGGUCAGGAUGAAGCCAGGGGAAACUCUGGUGGAGGUCCGUAGCGAUUCUGACGUGCAAAUCGAUCGUCAGAACUGGGUAUAGGGGCGAAAGACUAAUCGAACCAUCUAGUAGCUGGUUCCCUCCGAAGUUUCCCUCAGGAUAGCUGGCGCUCGUAAUUAUUAUUUACGAGUCUCAUCUGGUAAAGCGAAUGAUUAGAGGCAUUGGGGCCGAAACGACCUCAACCUAUUCUCAAACUUUAAAUGGGUGAGAUCUCUAGCUUGCUUAAAUUAUGAAGCUAUGAGAUUGGAUCAGAGUGCCAAGUGG
rnacentral:rRNA from 1 species